UCGAGAAUCUUCGGCAAUGGGGGCAACCCUGACCGAGCGACGCCGCGUGAGCGAUGAAGGCCUUCGGGUUGUAAAGCUCUUUAGGGGGGGAGAAAAGCCGAAAGGUGUGAUCUAUCCCCAAAAUAAGCACGGGCUAAGUUCGUGCCAGCAGCCGCGGUAAGACGAACCGUGCGAACGUUGUUCGGAAUCACUGGGCUUAAAGGGCGCGUAGGCGGGCUGUCAAGUCUGGGGUGAAAUGUCGCGGCUCAA
rnacentral:rRNA from 1 species